GCUUCUGUAGUGCAAUGAUUCAGCACGGUAGAUUGGAUAUCUGUAAGUGCGAAUUUAAGUCUCGCCUGAGGUU
rnacentral:tRNA from 1 species